AGGGAAUCUUCGGCAAUGGGGGCAACCCUGACCGAGCAACGCCGCGUGAGUGAAGAAGGUUUUCGGAUCGUAAAGCUCUGUUGUAAGAGAAGAACGUGUGUGAGAGUGGAAAGUUCACACAGUGACGGUAACUUACCAGAAAGGGACGGCUAACUAC
rnacentral:rRNA from 1 species